UACGUAGGGUGCGAGCGUUAAUCGGAAUUACUGGGCGUAAAGGGCGCGUAGGCGGUGCGGUAAGUCACCUGUGAAAUCUCCUGGCUCAACUGGGAGCUUGCAGGCGAAACUGCCGUGCUGGAGUGUGGGAGAGGUGCGUGGAAUUCCUGGUGUAGCGGUGAAAUGCGUAGAUAUCAGGAGGAACACCUGUGGUGUAGACGGCUUUCUGGACCAUAGCUGACGCUGAGACACGAAAAGCGUGGGUAGCAAACAGG
rnacentral:rRNA from 1 species